rnacentral:rRNA from 1 species
CAGCAGCCGCGGGAAUACAGAGGGUGCGAGCGUUAAUCGGAUUUACUGGGCGUAAAGCGUGCGUAGGUGGUGGUUUAAGUCCGUUGUGAAAGCCCUGGGCUCAACCUGGGAAUUGCAGUGGAUACUGGGUCACUAGAGUGUGGUAGAGGAUAGUGGAAUUUCCGGUGUAGCAGUGAAAUGCGUAGAGAUCGGAAGGAACAUCUGUGGCGAAGGCGACUAUCUGGGCCAACACUGACACUGAGGCACGAAAGCGUGGGGAGCAAACAGGAUUAGAUACCCGGGUAGUCCCUGUCUCUUAUAC